rnacentral:lncRNA from 10 species
UAAAGACUGAAUUUUUUUAGUAUAAGUAUGCCUCAUGCAAUACUUGGGAUAUACUUAUACUAAAAAUAUAUUCAUCCUCUAUCUAAAAUUCAAAUUUAACUGGGCAUCUUAUAUUUUGUCUGGUAGCUCUACCAGCUCACAUCAUAAGAGGACACCACAAUUGAAUCUACAGAUGAGAAACUAAAUUUGAAAUAAUUCAUCUGUUCAAUGUCACUGAGACCAUUAGUGCUUAGGCAGAGAGCAGUAGAUCUGAUACAGUGGGAAAAGCACAAUGAUAAUCUUGCCCUUGCCUAAAGUAGAAAGACAUGCAUGUGAGUUGAUGCUUUUAUUUUUGUUAAAUACCCUUGAGUCAAUAUAAUGCAAAACCAUGAUAGUUCACAUUUUAUAGUAACUUGUGUGAAACAGGAAGAAAGUCACCUCUAUGGGAGUCUAGAUGCAUUUCUAACAAGACUACAAUGACAAGGGGCUAAGUACACACCUCACUUAUAUUUAACAUAGGGAAAGAAGAGAUUGUCAAUAAGGUGCUUAUACUUAGAGAUGGAAAAUUUUGAGUGGGUUUAUUUGCUGUGUGGUGUUUGGUGUUAAGCGUUUCUGUUUACAUGUAUGUUUGAGGGUUUUACUCCUUACAAUAGAGUAAAUCUCAGAAAGGCACAGAAUAUUGCACUGAUCUGAACAAAUUAUUUUUUAAAGCCAUCAAUUAAAAUAAUAAAAUUAUAAACAAUUGGGGGAAUGCAGAAUAUGUAUAUAUCUUUUUAUAUCUCAGUACCUGUGAAGAGCACAGAACACCUCUGAUUAAGCAUUUGUUUAAAUUAAGAAAUUAAUUUAUAGUAAAAAUGCCAAGAGGAAUUAAUCAAAAAUUAUCAUGUAUAAUUCAUUUCCAGAUCAUGGAAUAUAUUUGCGGCUAAGGAAAUUAUUUGGCUAUCUACUGUAAUUCUUGGACAUUCUGAGGGGUUUUAGUAUACCUUGAAUCCUAUUGUUUCCCAUUAUGCAUCAGGAAAUCAGAAACUGAUUUCAAAAUAAAAUUGAGAUUUAACUUUUAGUCUCCCCCUAAUUAUCUAGAAAUCACAUAACCACAAGAACUUCACUAGAAUUGGUUUUUAUGUCCCUACGUAGCCUGGCAGUGCCUGACUCACACAAUAGGUACUCAGAAAUCUGUGUUAAAUUAGCUGGGCAUGGUGGCAGGUGCCUGUAGUUCCAGCUACUUGGGAGGCUGAGGCAGGAGAAUAGCUUGAACCCAGGAGGUGGAGGUUGCAGUGAGCCGAGAUUGUGCCACUGCACUCCAGCCUGGGUGACACAGCGAGACUCCAUCUCAAAAAAAAAAAAAAAAAAAAAAAAAAGCCAAGACCAUUUCUGUGAUUCCUGGAUGUGUCAAUCGGCAUUAAAGACCAAAGAAAAAUAGACAACAAUGAGAGAAGAGACUACUACUGUUUUUGUUACACUUAACCAGCUCAGCAUCUCUGAGAUAAACAUUAGUAUGUUCUUUUUACAAAUGAGGAAACUGACUUCCCCAAGUCAUAUGACUAGGAAGUAGUGGUGCUGAGAUUUGAGCCCAGAUCUGAUUAAUUUCAAAGGCUGAGCUUUGGCUAAGGCAUUGUUACCCAUCUCCAUCCCCUGCCCCACCCACUACACCAAAGGCAGGUGGCUUACAGCAGGCCAUCACUGCUAGUGUCUACUCAGUCCAGUGCACAUAUCUGACUAAGACUGGAUCAGGUGGGCCUUUUCCUAUAUGAAAGGGCAUCAGACAAUCCUAUCCCUUUAUGUGAUGAGAAAUGCCAAAGUUAGGAAAAAUCAACUCUAAAAAUUGCAAUGGGGCACAUAAAAUCAGGUUAACACAAAAAGAAUAAGAUAUAUUAUUAUUUCUUUCAUUGUUAUUUUUGGAUUUCUGUUCUCUGUGUUUUUUCUAAGUAGUUUCCUAAAACAUCAAUGUCUCUGUCUGAUUCCAACUUCCCAAAUGGCUUUAUCCCAAUUACUCCUCCCUGCCACACCUGCUUCAGAAAACUUAAUCUUCAAAAUGCUCCUGAAAUGGAACUUUCUCUAUAGACUUUUUACCCUCUGAAUAAUAAGUACCUCCCACUCAUCCUCCACUCCUUUCUGGAGUUAAGCAAGUUGAUUAUAAAGUUCAUUUUGAGAGAACAAAUAAACCAAAAUACCCAGGAAAUCAAAGAGCAACAGUGAGGAGUCUAGUCCUGCCUGGUAUAUCACAUACCACAGUGCCUCAAGUACCACAAAGUGCUUAAUGCACAGAACAAUCAAACAAAAUGUAAAACCCUGAAGCAGACCCAAUUGCAUAUGGAAAUCUAGUAUAUGAUAAGGGCAGCAUGUCAAGUCAGUGAAGAAAAAGAUGGACUUUUUAGCAAGUAGCAUUGGAAUAACUAGAGAAUUAUAUGUAAAAAAAUAAAUGUGGAUGAAGUGGAUGUAUUCCUCAUGCUACCCAUCAGAACAGUUUCCACGUAAAUAGAUUUUACAUGUAAAAAUUGAAGCUACCCAAGUACUAGAGGAAAACAUGGAUGAAUUCCUCCAUAAUGUGGAUGGG